CGCUGGCGGCGUGCCUAACACAUGCAAGUCGAACGGAGUUCUUAAGGAAUGCGACUUCGGUCAAAUGACUUUUGAACUUAGUGGCGGACGGGUGAGUGACGCGUGAGCAACCUGCCUUUCAGAGGGGGAUAACAUUUGGAAACAGAUGCUAAUACCGCAUAAGAUUACAGUACCGCAUGAUACAGUGAUCAAAGGAGCAAUCCGCUGAAAGAUGGGCUCGCGUCCGAUUAGAUAGUUGGUGAGGUAACGGCUCACCAAGUCGACGAUCGGUAGCCGGACUGAGAGGUUGAACGGCCACAUUGGGACUGAGACACGGCCCAGACUCCUACGGGAGGCAGCAGUGGGGAAUAUUGCACAAUGGGCGAAAGCCUGAUGCAGCAACGCCGCGUGAGGGAAGACGGUUUUCGGAUUGUAAACCUCUGUUUUCGGUGACGAACAAAUGACGGUAACCGAGUAGGAAGCCACGGCUAACUACGUGCCAGCAGCCGCGGUAAUACGUAGGUGGCAAGCGUUAUCCGGAAUUACUGGGUGUAAAGGGAGCGCAGGCGGGAUAGCAAGUCAGUUGUGAAAACUAUGGGCUCAACCCAUAGAUUGCAGUUGAAACUGUUAUUCUUGAGUGGAGUAGAGGCAAGCGGAAUCCGAGUGUAACGGUGAAAUGCG
rnacentral:rRNA from 1 species